rnacentral:tRNA from 1 species
GGAGGGUUCGCAUAGCGGUCUAGUGCGCACGCUUGGAAAGCGUGUGUGUCGAAAGGCACCGAGGGUUCGAAUCCCUCACCCUCCG